GUUUUUGUUUACUUGUUAGCAUAUUGGUUGAGUAGAGAGAUCCAAAUGGCACAGACCUGCUGAAAUAAAUCACAUAAACGCUCCUGUUGAAGGAAAAUGUCACCCAGAGAGGGACUAAAAGACAGGCCAUAAAAUUAAAAGUUGGAGUGUUGGAAAACGCUGUGGUCCUUCCCCUUGGACCAGAUGGAUACUCCUCUCCUGUGAUUGGCCUGGAUUCCAGAACAUGACCAGUGUCAACUCCCCUGCCUGCCUGCUGGCACGAAACCACUUCUACAGGAAUCAGCAGAAGCUUGCCUGUGGUCUGUCAAGUUGCACAGCCUGGCCCAAACAAACACAAGUGACCAUUUGGGUGGCUUCAUCUUCAUCCAUGCAGAAAGGUGUGCCUGUGCCUAUGAGAGAAAGCUGGUAUAUCAGUGUGGAGCUGGGCAUGCCUCUCUCCUCAUCCAGACCCACUGACGGAGCCAGGCGAUGGAAGCCGUGAGGAUCUCUACAGGAUACAAAGAUAUCACCUGGAGAUAUCUGCCCAUUCUUGCCAUGAAAUAUUUCUGUGUGCUGUACUCGAUUAGGAUGGAGCACGCUGUGAAAAAUGGUUACAUCUCUGUGAAUCAAACUAAUGAGUAGAGUAACACACAUAUGCGUGCAUGCAAACACACAAUUGGAAAAGGACUUGUUCUCUCCAGACUUGUAAGCUCAAAUGGAAGAUGACUCCAGGCCCACCCACCUCAUAAGAUACCUAUUUCUGGUCGUCCCUCUUUCCACCUCUCAGAAUUUAGGCCAAGGGCUUCCCAUACUGGAUACCAAUUGCAAGCUGACCUCCAAAUCCUUUCGGUGGAUCUCCUUAGAGCUGCCAACCAACUGACAUCCAAUCAGAGCACCUGCAGAGCCGCCAUCUCAUCAAAUGUCCAAUCAAAGAUGCUGCAGGGCAUUUCUCUGCCUACCAGGACUGAGGAUGGGCUCAUGGAGCAGAAAUGCUGAGUCAGCAAGGAGACUGUGCCAUCCCUCCCAUUUCUGCCACCCUGGCUGUAUGCGAAAUGUAUGUAGGGCAGCAGUGUUAUGGAGCAAGGCUCACAACCUAAAGGUUGGGAGUUCAAUUCCCACGUGUGGCACUGCUGGUGUACCUUUGCCCAUUGUACUUAACCCAAAUUGCCUCAGUAAAUAUCCAGC